rnacentral:rRNA from 1 species
GUCGAGCGGACAGAAGGGAGCUUGCUCCCGGAUGUUAGCGGCGGACGGGUGAGUAACACGUGGGUACCUGCCUGUAAGACUGGGAUAACUCCGGGAAACCGGAGCUAAUACCGGAUAGUUCCUUGAACCGCAUGGUUCAAGGAUGAAAGACGGUUUCGGCUGUCACUUACAGAUGGACCCGCGGCGCAUUAGCUAGUUGGUGGGGUAAUGGCUCACCAAGGCGACGAUGCGUAGCCGACCUGAGAGGGUGAUCGGCCACACUGGGACUGAGACACGGCCCAGACUCCUACGGGAGGCAGCAGUAGGGAAUCUUCCGCAAUGGACGAAAGUCUGACGGAGCAACGCCGCGUGAGUGAUGAAGGUUUUCGGAUCGUAAAGCUCUGUUGUUAGGGAAGAACAAGUGCGAGAGUAACUGCUCGCACCUUGACGGUACCUAACCAGAAAGCCACGGCUAACUACGUGCCAGCAGCCGCGGUAAUACGUAGGUGGCAAGCGUUGUCCGGAAUUAUUGGGCGUAAAGGGCUCGCAGGCGGUUUCUUAAGUCUGAUGUGAAAGCCCCCGGCUCAACCGGGGAGGGUCAUUGGAAACUGGGAAACUUGAGUGCAGAAGAGGAGAGUGGAAUUCCACGUGUAGCGGUGAAAUGCGUAGAGAUGUGGAGGAACACCAGUGGCGAAGGCGACUCUCUGGUCUGUAACUGACGCUGAGGAGCGAAAGCGUGGGGGAGCGAACAGGAUUAGAUACCCUGGGUAGUCCACGCCGUAAACGAUGAGUGCUAAGUGUUAGGGGGUUUCCGCCCCUUAGUGCUGCAGCUAACGGCAUUAAGCACUCCGCCUGGGGAGUACGGUCGCAAGACUGAAACUCNAAAGGAA